rnacentral:rRNA from 1 species
CUCGUAGUUGAACCUUGGGCCUGGCUGGCAGGUCCGCCUCACCGCGUGUACUUGUCCGGCCGGGCCUUUCCUUCUGGAGAACCUCAUGCCCUUCACUGGGUGUGUUGGGGAACCAGAACUUUUACUUUGAAAAAAUUAGAGUGUUCAAAGCAGGCCUUUGCUCGAAUACGUUAGCAUGGAAUAAUAGAAUAGGACGUGCGGUCCUAUUUUGUUGGUUUCUAGGACCGCCGUAAUGAUUAAUAGGGACAGUCGGGGGCAUCAGUAUUCAAUUGUCAGAGGUGAAAUUCUUGGAUUUAUUGAAGACUAACUACUGCGAAAGCAUUUGCCAAGGAUGUUUUCAUUAAUCAGUGAACGAAAGUUAGGGGAUCGAAGACGAUCAGAUACCGUCGUAGUCUUAACCGUAAACUAUGCCGACUAGGGAUCGGGCGAUGUUCUUUUUCUGACUCGCUCGGCACCUUACGAGAAAUCAAAGUUUUUGGGUUCUGGGGGGAGUAUGGUCGCAAGGCUGAAACUUAAAGAAAUUGACGGAAGGGCACCACCAGGCGUGGAGCCUGCGGCUUAAUUUGACUCAACGCGGGGAAACUCACCAGGUCCAGAUGAAUAAGGAUUGACAGAUUGAGAG